CUUGGUAGCACUGCUCCGGCGAGGCCCUAAGCAGGAUAGCAAGGCGAGGAAAGGCGACGGCUAAGCAAGGUGAGAUGAUUUCUUGUUUUUUGUUUUCUUCUUCUUCCGGCGAUGACAAUCCACUGACGGCUCACAGGAUGGUUCCUAACCUCCGACGAAGUCGAGAAGGAGCCGAAGUCGGACUUUUUCUCUGACUCAAACAGGGGGAACUCUGUUCCCAUUUCUUUUUUUGUUUGACUGCUUCAAUAGUCGUGUGGAAAAAGAUUAGAGGGACGGGUCCUAAUCUUGCAUGUUUGUAGGAUUCGUCUUGCAAGCAUACGACAUCUGUUACAUGGUCGAUUUGGAGCAUGAUGGAUAAAAUGAUAUCAGAGCUUAGGUUUAAGAUCAUUAAGGAUUGUGCUAGAUCAUUAAUAGAAAUAGUGAUAUAAGAGCCCAGGUUCAAUGAUUUUUAUGACUCGUUGGAAAUGUUGAGAGUUGGAUAGAAAUCAGGCGAUAAGAUGUCUUUGUUUGCUUUUCUUGUUGAUAAUUUUAUGUUAUUUUGUCUAAAUUUAUAGAGAUCCUUAUCUUAUUUUCACUUAGAUUAAGAAUGCCAUCCUGCCAUAUCCAUAGCCGAAGAAGUAAAUAAGUUAAUUGGAGUGUUUUUAGGGUAGAGUCCGUGGUAACACGAUGAUUGAGAUCACCUAUUUGAAGGAGUAUCUAGUAUCCUUCUGUAUCCAUCUUUAGAUAUAAGCACUCAUAAAUCAAGCUUUCUCCUUUUAUGGCCAAGGAUAAACACAUUAAAUACCAUAUUUGAUGUAGCUGGUUUUAUUAAUUAUUUAUGGAAAACAAGAUUUAAGGAAAAACUUUAGAUAAUCAUUGCUUCAUGUUUAAGUAUGAAAGCUUGUUAGAUCAUGGUCAUGUUAACUGUUUCUUCACUUUCUGGAUGGCAUGAGGAGCCUUCACCUAAGGGAUGCAGGUACGGCUAAGUGAUAACCUAUCCAGGCUUUUAUGGGUGCAUUGUUGACUUUUUUUUAUCAGUCCCAAAGCUUUGUAAGUAUGUCUCACUUGGAAGCAUAUAUAUCUCUAUUGGAUUCAAGCGAGAUUGUCCGUUGACAUGGUAGUCGAUUUCUCCAUUUCUCCUCCAUUUUUAUCUGAGUAUUUCUUCAGUAGAUCAUUGAUAUCCACUUUUGAACAUAAGCAUUUAUCAAGUAAUAAAUAACAAUACAUCAAACUAUCACAGUCGCCUUUUUUUUAUAUGACUGAAGAUAAGCAUGUAUAAUAUGAAGUUUAACAUGUAUAGCUUUUGUAUUAGUAGGGAAAACAGGUUUUAAGAAUGAUUAAAUAACCAUUGCUUCAUUUAGAUAGGAAAUUAGUAAUCAUGAUCAUGACCUCACCUUGCAAAGCUCUCCUUUUGAUCAAGAUGCAGGCUAGGCCAUAUAUCCUAGAUACAUUUCUUGCGUGCAUUAUCAACUUCACUGACCAUCUGAAAUGUUUUAGGAUUGUUGCACUUGAAGAACAUACCUUUGUUUUGAUCAAGCAGGUUAGUGUGUUGACACGAUACACUCUUUAUCCAUGUUGCCUUCUAGGAUUGUUGCACUUGAAGAACAUACCUUUGUUUUGAUCAAGCAGGUUAGUGUGUUGACAUGAUACGCUCUUUAUCCAUGUUGCCUUCAUGCUUACUCAUGCAGAGAAUAUCCGGGGAUCUGCAGCAACAGUUACUAGUGUUUUUCUCCAGUCUAUGUUUAAGUGAUAACCAUAUUAUAAAAUAAGCAUUCAUCAAGCAAUGAGAAGAACUGGAUGAUCAUUCUUUUUCACUUUAAGUAUAAAUCCCUUCAUGGCUUUGACUAGUUUGCUUUAUGGAUGACGUGAGGGGGCUUUACCUUUUAAGUGCUUCCGUUGAUUAAGGAUGCCCCACUCGAUUGCCUAUUCCGGCUUUCUACAUGCGUUACCCUCUAAAUUUGUUGUUUCAGUCUGAAAUAUUGUUCUAUACUGCAGGUGGAAGACAUAUUACUCCUAGUGAUUCAAGUAGGGUAGCGGGCUGAUUUGGUAGUUUGUAUCUUAUUUCAUCCUUCAUGAUCAUAUAUGGCUUUACCCUUUCUUUUUUAUAUAUUAAAAAAAAAAACUUGUUGGUAUCAUAUUUAGGGGCUUUGAUCAUGAUUUCUCAAUGUUGAUUUUGAGGGAUGCUAAUAAUCCAAAACAGCUACUUUUAGUUUUGAUUUUCAUUGUUUACUGGUCUGAGAAACCGUUGCUAGUUUGAAGUUGAACUGGUGAACUGGUUAUUGGUUAAUGUUGUAGCAUCUGGCGUUAAGGGAAAAAAUAGGAGAGGAGGUUUCCUCUUCUGAUUCAUUUUCCAUUUUUUCCUCUUCUAAUGAGAGAGAGAGAGAGAGAAGGCAUGGAGGUCUUCCCUACCUCCCCCGUAGUUUGUGGAAUGGGUGGCCAAACUGCUUGAACCACCUUGAACCAAGCUGAACCAAAAGGUUCAUCUUGCUUUGUGUCGGUACCACCUGGUUUGGGUGCUGAACUGCUUCAAGGCAUGACUUCAUGCUGAUUCUAACCUGGUACAGAUUGGUACCCUCUGAACCAUGCUGUUUGCAUUGUUAUGGCACACGAUGGCUAAGAUAUGUUGGCCGAAUAUGACCCAUAUCAUAUAUUAUGAAAUGAUUAUAAAUCAUCAAUGAUGAACCACUAUCAAGAAAUUACAUUUGGUUUUUCUGUGAUGCAUUGAGAUACCAUUGUGUAUUGAGUGGUAGAAAUAAAAUUCAAGUUAUAAAUAACUGACAUAUGUAGUUCAUGAUAAUAAUAUUUUAAUAUUAUCCAAUGGUUAUAAUUGUUAUAGAAUAUUUACUAUUAAUUAUAAAUUUAUGUGUUUAUUUUUGUGUGUGUAUGUGUGUAUGCAAAUUCUCACUGAGUUGUUAACUCAUGAUACUUUUUGUCUUUCUUUCAGAGCCACAGAGAUUCAGGAUUUGGUAGUAUGUGAUGAAGAGGAUUUAGAACAUCUAUAAUACCACUAGAUGUUUAGACAUUGUAGUUGAACUAUUUUUUUUUUAACAUAAAACGGGCCAUUUUAUUGCAUUUUGUUUUUGAGAAAGGUGAUUAUGUUGUCAAUGUUUUGUUCAUUAAUAGGCCUCGUAUAAUGUGUGGUCGUGUCACAUGCCUGCGUGCGUUGUGGGUUUGGGAUGUGAUACACUUUCAUGUGCACCCACUUGAUAGCCAAUUUAGACUUUUAUGAUGCAUUACUAAAUUUGUGAUUGCUCUAAAAUAUUGUCUCUGUUGCAUUUGAGAAUCAUACUCCUAUAUAAUUCAAGUAGUUAGCAGGUUGACAUGGAAGGUUUUUAUUCAUGGACACUGAAAUCAGCAUAUCUUUCAUUCCGUUUUUUGCUUGCAUGCAUUUGUUAAACAAUAAAAAAGUUUACAAACAAACUCGUAAUCCAGUUGUCCUUGUUGGGAUCUGGUAAAGUGCAAAUAAAAUGUUUACCAAAGCUACAAUUGCUGAUUUAGCAACUUCACAAUCGUGUUUGGCAACAAAUCCAUGAGUUGCACCAAAUAUUGCCACUUGCCAACAUGAUUGCUUGCAAGCAUGUUAUGAACUGGGAAGCAUUACCUUUGUUUUUGGGGGGUAUUAGCGGGUAAGGGACGUUACAACAGCUAAUUCUCUUUAAUGGCCAAAGAUAUCGAUGGUUGAAUGCCAUAUAUGCAAAUUUAUUUGUCAUUAGUUUCCCCAAAAAGCUUUUUUUUUUAAGGUAAAAGUAUCUAAUUAUUGCCUCAUCUUAUAUAAUAACAAUAUAAAGAAUCUUGCUAACAAUGAUAAUCUAACUUUUGCCCCAACGCAUUCAAGAGCCUGGAAAACCAAUGUGUUGUUGGUGGGUGCAAGGAGUACGUCCAGUUCUUUUCAUGCUGUAACAAGGUACUGAUAUUAAGAAAUACCGGCUUCAUCUUCCUAUGAGCCAAUUACUCCUUCAGGUUCAUAUUAUGGAAUCACAUCUAUAUUGCCUGCAGAUUAAUUUAACUCUCUUUUCUUUCAUUUUCUCUUCCCUCCUUCACUUUCUCUAUUUCCAUGUCUUGUUGGCUUGCUUUCUGUAUGUCCGGUUCUUGAGUAGGAGUAGAGAGGUAGUUGAUUUUUUGUACAAGGAAGAGACAUCAAGAACAUUAUCAUAAUCUAUUAAAAUAAUGAUGAUGAUAAUAAUAAUAAUGAAAAUUUAUUUCUUAAGAGAUUAUUGGAUCUCUUUGCUUCUAUUAUAAGAUGUUUAAAUCUGGUCUGCAUGUCAAUGGACAUAACCUUAUAUAUAUUGCUUCUUAAAGUUGAUAUUUUCUCAUUUUUAAGUUAUAAAAUCCAUUAUGCUGGUUGGAUCUUUGAUUUUGUAAAACCAUUAAUCUGGUCUGAACCAAUGCGGUUGAAUCAGACUGGAUAUUUUUGGUUUUUUAAAGCAUAUUGGACUGUUAUGCUGCUGUAGAAUGGUGCAAGGACCUAACUGUAAAUCUGCAUCUAUAGAUACGUACUGAUUGAAAAGGACCUAAUCAUAGAGCAGUAUUUUGCAGAUUUAAUCCGAUCACUAGUUCAGGUGAACCAAACUUGUUAUGGUUUAAGGCUGAGUCAGAUCUGUCCUGUUAUGCAAAUGGAAAAAUAGAGCAUGGACCCUCACAUAGUUUUUCAGGAAUCUGUUUAAAUGUGAAUCCGUGUUUACAGUAAUGGACAGUAGGGAACUAUAUUUAAAAGCAUGCUUGUUUAUUUCCAUUUCUUUAAUUUAUAUGCUAUGUAAUUGAUUCAUAUGCAAAUGAAAUACUAAAGGCCUAUUCAUGUCUCAAAUUAUCUUAAUGAUUGAUUAACCUA
rnacentral:lncRNA from 1 species